rnacentral:rRNA from 1 species
GACGAACGCUGGCGGCGUGCCUAAUACAUGCAAGUUGAGCGCUGAAGGUUGGUACUUGUACCAACUGGAUGAGCAGCGAACGGGUGAGUAACGCGUGGGGAAUCUGCCUUUGAGCGGGGGACAACAUUUGGAAACGAAUGCUAAUACCGCAUAAAAACUUUAAACACAAGUUUUAAGUUUGAAAGAUGCAAUUGCAUCACUCAAAGAUGAUCCCGCGUUGUAUUAGCUAGUUGGUGAGGUAAAGGCUCACCAAGGCGAUGAUACAUAGCCGACCUGAGAGGGUGAUCGGUCACAUUGGGACUGAGACACGGCCCAAACUCCUACGGGAGGCAGCAGUAGGGAAUCUUCGGCAAUGGACGAAAGUCUGACCGAGCAACGCCGCGUGAGUGAAGAAGGUUUUCGGAUCGUAAAAAUCUGUUGGUAGAGAAGAACGUUGGUGAGAGUGGAAAGCUCAUCAAGUGACGGUAACUACCCAGAAAGGGACGGCUAACUACGUG